rnacentral:misc_RNA from 1 species
UAAUCCUCGUGCCCAAAACUUAAUUGGGUCAAAUUUUAAUAAUAUUAUCAUUAUAAUUAUUUUAAUCAUUAACAUUAAUCAUAAAACUUUCACGAUCUAUACUUUAAUUUUACUCAUAUCUAAUAACAAGUAAGAACUUUAACAUUAUGUUCAUUAUCAUAAAUUUGAUGGAGAAAUUUAAUUGUUCAAAACCUAGAGUUUUG